UACGAAGGGGGCUAGCGUUGUUCGGAUUUACUGGGCGUAGAGCGCACGUAGGCGGAUCGUUAAGUCGGGGGUGAAAUCCUUGAGCUCAAAUCCAGAACUGCCUUCGAUACUGGCUACCUAGAGUCCGGAAGAGGUGAGUGGAACUCCUAGUGUAGAGGUGGAAUUCGUAGAUAUUAGGAAGAACACCAGUGGCGAAGGCGGCUCACUGGUCCGGUACUGACGCAGAGGUGCGAAAGCGUGUGGAGCAAACAGG
rnacentral:rRNA from 1 species